UUUGGUUAAGUUAGAAAGGGCGCACGGUGGAUGCCUUGACACUAGGAGUCGAUGAAGGACGGGACUAACGCCGAUAUGCUUCGGGGAGCUGUAAGUAAGCUUUGAUCCGAAGAUUUCCGAAUGGGGAAACCCACCAUACGUAAUGGUAUGGUAUCCUUACCUGAAUACAUAGGGUAAGGAAGACAGACCCAGGGAACUGAAACAUCUAAGUACCUGGAGGAAGAGAAAGCAAAUGCGAUUUCCUGAGUAGCGGCGAGCGAAACGGAACAUAGCCCAAACCAAGAGGCUUGCCUCUUGGGGUUGUAGGACAUUCUAUACGGAGUUACAAAGGAACGAGGUAGACGAAGCGACCUGGAAAGGUCCGUCGUAGAGGGUAACAACCCCGUAGUCGAAACUUCGUUCUCUCUUGAAUGUAUCCUGAGUACGGCGGAACACGUGAAAUUCCGUCGGAAUCUGGGAGGACCAUCUCCCAAGGCUAAAUACUCCCUAGUGAUCGAUAGUGAACCAGUACCGUGAGGGAAAGGUGAAAAGCACCCCGGAAGGGGAGUGAAAGAGAUCCUGAAACCGUGUGCCUACAAAUAGUCAGAGCCCGUUAACGGGUGAUGGCGUGCCUUUUGUAGAAUGAACCGGCGAGUUACGAUCCCGUGCGAGGUUAAGCUGAAGAGGCGGAGCCGCAGCGAAAGCGAGUCUGAAUAGGGCGUUUAGUACGUGGUCGUAGACCCGAAACCAGGUGAUCUACCCAUGUCCAGGGUGAAGUUCAGGUAACACUGAAUGGAGGCCCGAACCCACGCACGUUGAAAAGUGCGGGGAUGAGGUGUGGGUAGCGGAGAAAUUCCAAUCGAACCUGGAGAUAGCUGGUUCUCCCCGAAAUAGCUUUAGGGCUAGCCUUAAGUGUAAGAGUCUUGGAGGUAGAGCACUGAUUGGACUAGGGGUCCUCAUCGGAUUACCGAAUUCAGUCAAACUCCGAAUGCCAAUGACUUAUCCUUAGGAGUCAGACUGCGAGUGAUAAGAUCCGUAGUCAAAAGGGAAACAGCCCAGACCGCCAGCUAAGGUCCCAAAGUGUGUAUUAAGUGGAAAAGGAUGUGGAGUUGCUUAGACAACUAGGAUGUUGGCUUAGAAGCAGCCACCAUUUAAAGAGUGCGUAAUAGCUCACUAGUCGAGUGACUCUGCGCCGAAAAUGUACCGGGGCUAAAUACACCACCGAAGCUGCGGAUUGAUACCGAAUGGUAUCAGUGGUAGGGGAGCGUUCUAAGGACAGUGAAGUCAGACCGGAAGGACUGGUGGAGUGCUUAGAAGUGAGAAUGCCGGUAUGAGUAGCGAAAGACGGGUGAGAAUCCCGUCCACCGAAUGCCUAAGGUUUCCUGAGGAAGGCUCGUCCGCUCAGGGUUAGUCAGGACCUAAGCCGAGGCCGACAGGCGUAGGCGAUGGACAACAGGUUGAUAUUCCUGUACCACCUCUUUAUCGUUUGAGCAAUGGAGGGACGCAGAAGGAUAGAAGAAGCGUGCGAUUGGUUGUGCACGUCCAAGCAGUUAGGCUGAUAAGUAGGCAAAUCCGCUUAUCGUAAAGGCUGAGCUGUGAUGGGGAAGCUCCUUAUGGAGCGAAGUCUUUGAUUCCCCGCUGCCAAGAAAAGCUUCUAGCGAGAUAAAAGGUGCCUGUACCGCAAACCGACACAGGUAGGCGAGGAGAGAAUCCUAAGGUGUGCGAGAGAACUCUGGUUAAGGAACUCGGCAAAAUGACCCCGUAACUUCGGGAGAAGGGGUGCUUUCUUAACGGAAAGCCGCAGUGAAUAGGCCCAAGCGACUGUUUAGCAAAAACACAGCUCUCUGCGAAGCCGUAAGGCGAAGUAUAGGGGGUGACACCUGCCCGGUGCUGGAAGGUUAAGGAGAGGGGUUAGCGUAAGCGAAGCUCUGAACUGAAGCCCCAGUAAACGGCGGCCGUAACUAUAACGGUCCUAAGGUAGCGAAAUUCCUUGUCGGGUAAGUUCCGACCCGCACGAAAGGUGUAACGAUUUGGGCACUGUCUCAACCAGAGACUCGGUGAAAUUAUAGUACCUGUGAAGAUGCAGGUUACCCGCGACAGGACGGAAAGACCCCGUGGAGCUUUACUGUAGCCUGAUAUUGAAUUUUGGUACAGUUUGUACAGGAUAGGCGGGAGCCUUUGAAACCGGAGCGCUAGCUUCGGUGGAGGCGCUGGUGGGAUACCGCCCUGACUGUAUUGAAAUUCUAACCUACGGGUCUUAUCGACCCGGGAGACAGUGUCAGGUGGGCAGUUUGACUGGGGCGGUCGCCUCCUAAAGUGUAACGGAGGCGCCCAAAGGUUCCCUCAGAAUGGUUGGAAAUCAUUCGUAGAGUGCAAAGGCAUAAGGGAGCUUGACUGCGAGACCUACAAGUCGAGCAGGGACGAAAGUCGGGCUUAGUGAUCCGGUGGUUCCGCAUGGAAGGGCCAUCGCUCAACGGAUAAAAGCUACCCCGGGGAUAACAGGCUUAUCUCCCCAAGAGUCCACAUCGACGGGGAGGUUUGGCACCUCGAUGUCGGCUCAUCGCAUCCUGGGGCUGUAGUCGGUCCCAAGGGUUGGGCUGUUCGCCCAUUAAAGCGGUACGCGAGCUGGGUUCAGAACGUCGUGAGACAGUUCGGUCCCUAUCCGUCGUGGGCGUAGGAAAUUUGAGAGGAGCUGUCCUUAGUACGAGAGGACCGGGAUGGACGCACCGCUGGUGUACCAGUUGUUCUGCCAAGGGCAUAGCUGGGUAGCUAUGUGCGGAAGGGAUAAGUGCUGAAAGCAUCUAAGCAUGAAGCCCCCUCAAGAUGAGAUUUCCCAUAGCGUAAGCUAGUAAGAUCCCUGAAAGAUGAUCAGGUUGAUAGGUUCGAGGUGGAAGCAUGGUGACAUGUGGAGCUGACGAAUACUAAUAGAUCGAGGACUUAACCAUAUAA
rnacentral:rRNA from 1 species